rnacentral:lncRNA from 1 species
UCACACCUUAGAGUAUCAAGGGCACUCUUAAGAACCUCUAACUUUUGCGGGUAAGUUAACACCUUAGAGUAUUAAGGAACUCUUAAAAACCUCUCUAAGCUUUAAGGCUACUUCGCUUAGGAACCAGUCUUUUACAGGUAGACUCACACCUUAGAGUAUCAAGGGCACUCUUAAGAACCUUUAACUUUUACGGGUAAGUUAGUACCUUAGAGUAUCAAGAAACUCUUAAAAACCUAGAAAUCUUUCAAGGUAGAUUCGACCUAAGAGUUUUCCCGGAAACUCUAUAAAACCAAACUAGAGCUUUAUGGUUGAGCUCGAAAACCUUCUCUCACACUUUGGUACUAUUGAGACAACCCUCUCAACCAAAGUGGACACACACAAGAGGUGAUUAGAGGAGUGGAAUAUUAAAGCAAACAACACUUCUUACUUGUAAAGAUGAACAAGAAGAUUAGAAGAAGAAGUUGGAGAGCUUUUGAAGCUUUGGAAGCUAAGACACUUGAGCACUUGAAAGCUUG